GGCAUUCCCUUUGAUGAGUAAAAAAGUGGCUGGAUGGCUGGGGCCAAAGGGUGGUGGUGAAUAGAGGUAAAUCCAGUUGGUGGCCAGUCACAAGUGGUGUUCCCCAGGGCUCAGUUUUGGGGCCAGUUCUCUUUAAUAUCGUUAUCAAU